AGGGCCAUAGCUCAGGGGUAGAGUGUCUGCCUUGGAAGCAGAAGGUUUCAGGUUCAGUCCCUGCUGGUGUCA